CCUACGGGAGGCUGCAGUGGGGAAUAUUGCACAAUGGGGGAAACUCUGAUGCAGCGACGCCGCGUGAGUGAAGAAGUAUUUCGGUAUGUAAAGCUCUGUCAGCAGGGAAGAAAAUGACGGUACCUGACCAAGAAGCUCCGGCUAACUACGUGCCAGCAGCCGCGGUAAUACGUAGGGGGCAAGCGUUAUCCGGAUUUACUGGGUGUAAAGGGAGCGUAGACGGCAGGGCAAGUCCGGAGUGAAAGGCCGAGGCUCAACCCCCGGACUGCUCUGGAAACUGCCAAGCUAGAGUGCAGGAGAGGUAAGUGGAAUUCGUAGUGUAGCGGUGAAAUGCGUAGAUAUUAGGAGGAACACCAGUGGCGAAGGCGGCUUGCUGGACUGUAACUGACGCUGAGGCUCGAAAGCGUGGGGAGCAAACAGGAUUAGAUACCCUGGUAGUC
rnacentral:rRNA from 1 species